rnacentral:rRNA from 1 species
GACGUAGGGCGCGAGCGUUGUCCGGAUUUACUGGGCGUAAAGAGCUCGUAGGCGGCUCGUUGCGUCGGCUGUGAAAACCCGCAGCUCAACUGUGGGCUUGCAGCUGAUACGGGCGGGCUGGGAUUCGGUAGGGGAGACUGGAAUUCCUGGUGUAGCGGUGAAAUGCGCAGAUAUCAGGAGGAACACCGGUGGCGAAGGCGGGUCUCUGGGCCGAUAUCGACGCUGAGGAGCGAAAGCGUGGGGAGCGAACAGG